CCUACGGGAGGCAGCAGUGGGGAAUAUUGCACAAUGGGGGAAACCCUGAUGCAGCGACGCCGCGUGAGUGAAGACGUAUUUCGGUAUGUACAGCUCUGUCAUCAGGGAAGAAAAUGACGGUACCUAACCAAGAAGCCCCGGCUAACUACGUGCCAGCAGCCGCGGUAAUACGUAGGGGGCGAGCGUUAUCCGGAUUUACUGGGUGUAAAGGGAGCGUAGACGGGAGGGCAAGUCUGGAGUUAAAGGCGGCGGCUCAACCCGCGGACUGCUCUGGAAACUGCCAGGCUGGAGUGCAGGAGAGGUAAGUGGAAUUCCUAGUGUAGCGGUGAAAUGCGUAGAUAUUAGGAGGAACACCAGUGGCGAAGGCGGCUUACUGGACUGUAACUGACGUUGAGGCUCGAAAGCGUGGGGAGCAAACAGGAUUAGAUACCCGGGUAGUC
rnacentral:rRNA from 1 species